UUAAGUUCAGCGGGUAUUCCUACCUGAUCCGAGGUCAACCACUAAAAGAUGGGGGUUUUACGGCGGGAGGACAGGGCCUGACAGGAGCGAGAAAUGAAUUACUACGCUCAGAGGACCACUGCCGCUCCGCCACUGUCUUUGGGGAACUACAGUACAGUAGAGUCCCAACACUAAGCUAGGCUUAAGGGUUGAAAUGACGC
rnacentral:misc_RNA from 1 species